rnacentral:rRNA from 1 species
UAGGGAAUCUUCCGCAAUGGACGCAAGUCUGACGGAGCAACGCCGCGUGAGUGAAGAAGGAUUUCGGUUCGUAAAACUCUGUUGUUAGAGAAGAACAGCGCAUAGAGUAACUGUUAUGCGUGUGACGGUAUCUAACCAGAAAGCCACGGCUAACUACGUGCCAGCAGCCGCGGUAAUACGUAGGUGGCAAGCGUUGUCCGGAUUUAUUGGGCGUAAAGCGAGCGCAGGCGGUCAAUUAAGUCUGAUGUGAAAGCCCCCGGCUCAACCGGGGAGGGUCAUUGGAAACUGGUUGACUGGAGUGCAGAAGAGGAGAGUGGAAUUCCAUGGGUAGCGGUGAAAUGCGUAGAUAUAUGGAGGAACACCAGUGGCGAAGGCGACUCGCUGGUCUGUAACUGACGCUGAGGCUCGAAAGCGUGGGUAGCAAACAGG